UGGCGGACGGGUGAGUAACGCGUGGGUAACCUGCCUCAUACAGGGGGAUAACAGUUAGAAAUAGACUGCUAAUACCGCAUAAGACCACAGCACCGCAUGGUGCAGGGGUAAAAACUCCGGUGGUAUGAGAUGGACCUGCGUCUGAUUAGGUAGUUGGUGGGGUAACGGCCUACCAAGCCGACGAUCAGUAGCCGACCUGAGAGGGUGACCGGCCACAUUGGGACUGAGACACGGUCCAA
rnacentral:rRNA from 1 species